rnacentral:rRNA from 1 species
GACGAACGCUGGCGGCGUGCUUAACACAUGCAAGUCGAACGGAAAGGCCCCUUUGGGGGUUCGCGAGGGGCACACGGGUGUGUAACACGGGAGUACCCUGCCCUUGUCUUCGGGAAAACUUCAGGAAAGUGGGGCAAAUCCCGGAUAGGAAUCCUUGCUGCAUGGUGGGGGGGGGAGAGCUUCGGCGGUUUUGGAUGGACUCGCGGCAUAUCCGCUUGUUGGUGGGGUAGUGGCUUAACAAGGCCUUGACGGGUAGGCGGGCUGGGGGGGGGAACGGCCACAGUGGGACCGGGGUACGGCCCAGACCCCUACGGGGGGCAGCAGGGGGGAAUAUUGGACAAUGGGCGGAAGCCCGAAGGAGGAAAGGCGCGGGGGGGAGUGCGGGCUUUGGGUUGGAAACCGCUUUCAGCAGGGGAGAAGCUUGUGGUGACGGUACCUGCAGAAGAAGCACCGGCUAACUACGUG